GGUAACGUCACUCCUGAAGGGUAUUCGCCUUCAAAAGCCUCUUCCCUACCGAAAGGGCUUUACAACCCGCAGGCCUUCUUCACCCACGCGGCAUUGCUGGAUCAGGCUUGCGCCCAUUGUCCAAUAUUCCCCA
rnacentral:rRNA from 1 species